UCAAGAGUACGUGAAACCGCUUAGGGGUUAAGCCCGAUGAACCUGAAUAUCUGAAUUGAGAAAUUCAAUAUUGUUAACUUAAUUGUUGAUGGUAUGCACUUUUCUCAUAGUAGGACAUUGCGAUCCAUUAGUAUAUCUCUUUGAGAUGAUUUAUCAUACGGCCCAUUAAUUUGUUUAAUCUAUCUGCAGUAUUUUUAUAUUGUAUGAUUAAUAUUAUUGUGGUGACCUAGUAAAUAGCUGAUGGAACUUAAAAAUCAUGCAACCAUGCAAAUGUAUCACGGUUUUUAUAUAUUUUAUAUAUUUGAAUGCAGUGAUCGCAUGUAUUUGAUUAGCAAUGCGAUAGAUUUGGGAUACCUUCGGGACCCGUCUUGAAACACGGACCAAGAAGUCUAACAUGUGUGUAAGUCAUUGGGUAUUAAAAAACCUAAAGGCGAAAUUAAAAUAACUAUUUUAAAUGGGAUUACAAGCAAUUUUGAAAAUAGAUUGUUUCUCCAUCCCGGGGCGUUCUAUUUAAACAUGGUUUAAGCAAUUAGAUCCUCUGUUUGAGAGCGUACCUUGAACAUACAUGCUGUGACCCGAAAGAUGGUGAACUAA
rnacentral:rRNA from 1 species